rnacentral:rRNA from 1 species
CAGUCGCCGCGGUAAUACGAAGGGUGCAAGCGUUAAUCGGAAUUACUGGGCGUAAAGCGUGCGUAGGCGGUGAGUUAAGUCUGCUGUGAAAUCCCCGGGCUCAACCUGGGAAUGGCAGUGGAUACUGGCUCGCUAGAGUGUGUCAGAGGAUGGUGGAAUUCCCGGUGUAGCGGUGAAAUGCGCAGAGAUCGGGAGGAACAUCAGUGGCGAAGGCGGCCAUCUGGGACAACACUGACGCUGAGGCACGGAAGCGUGGGGAGCAAACAGGAUUAGAUACCCGAGUAGUCCCUGUCUCUUAUAC